rnacentral:rRNA from 1 species
UAGGGAAUUGUUCGCAAUGGGCGCAAGCCUGACCCAGCAACGCCGCGUGAAGGAUGAAAUCCUUCGGGAUGUAAACUUCGCAAGAACGGGAAGAAUAAGUUUGUGUUAACACCACAAGCGAUGACGGUACCGUUUGUAAGCUCCGGCUAACUCCGUGCCAGCAGCCGCGGUAAUACGGGGGGAGCAAGCGUUGUUCGGAUUUACUGGGCGUAAAGGGCGCGUAGGCGGCCACCGCAAGUCAAUUGUGAAAUCUCCGGGCUUAACUCGGAAAGGUCAACUGAUACUGCGGGGCUAGAGUGCAGAAGGGGCAACUGGAAUUCUCGGUGUAGCGGUGAAAUGCGUAGAUAUCGAGAGGAACACCUGCGGCGAAGGCGGGUUGCUGGGCUGACACUGACGCUGAGGCGCGAAAGCUAGGGGAGCGAA